rnacentral:lncRNA from 1 species
AUCAAUAUUUUAUUUGCACUUUAAUAGAUUUUAAAGUAUUUGAAAUAUUAAAUAUUUUAUGUUUGAUUAUAUAUGUUAUGAAUUGACAAAUUUCAUUUUUUUAAGGAAUAUUAUUUUGUUUUAUUUUAUUUAGCACGAGUGUCAUAAUAUUUUAAGGGUAAAAGGUAAAGUAGUUUUAAACCCCUUCCCUCUCAUUAUGAAC